AGCGAACGCUGGCGGUAUGCUUAACACAUGCAAGUCGAGCGCGAAAGUGACUUCGGUCAUGAGUAGAGCGGCGGACGGGUGAGUAACACGUGGAUAAUCUGCCUUUAGGACUGGGAUAACCCUGGGAAACUAGGGCUAAUACCGGAUAAGACCACAGGUUCCAUGGAACCAGGGGUAAAAGGCGGCCUUCGGGCUGUCGCCGAAAGAUGAGUCCGCGUCCCAUCAGGUAGUUGGUGAGGAACGGCUCACCAAGCCGAAGACGGGUAGCCGACCUUAGCGGGUGAUCGGCCACACGGGGACUGAGACACGGCCCCGACUCCUACGGGAGGCAGCAGUGGGGAAGUCUUGGGCGAAUGAGCGCAAGCCUGACCCACGCAAUACCGCGUGAGGGAUGAAGGCC
rnacentral:rRNA from 1 species